rnacentral:tmRNA from 1 species
ACUCGUUGGACCCGGGGGCGGUACCCGGCGCCUCCACCAAAAUAUAAUGAAAAAAUUAUAUUUUGGUGGGGGCGAAAUAGGAUCGACAAGAGCGUAAAGAUUGCUCUUUUACUCGGCAUAGUACCACCGUUAUCGGACUAAAUGAGUAGUUGCAAAUGACAACUAUGCGGAAGCACGUCUCGCUGCUUAAUGCAGUGCGAAUGUUUCAAUUUAAGUCUUAAACCGUCGCAGGUUUAAGCGGGGUUCGGAGG